GAUGAAGAACGUAGUGAAAUGCGAUAAGUAAUGUGAAUUGCAGAAUUCAGUGAAUCAUCGAAUCUUUGAACGCACAUUGCGCCCGCCAGUAUUCUGGCGGGCAUGCCUGUUCGAGCGUCAUUUCAACCACUCAGGCCCUGGUGCCUGGCGUCGGGGUUUCUUGCUUCGGUAAAAUCCCCUAGAAUCAGUGGCGGACCCGCCGCGGCUCCGAGCGUAGUAGUAAAAUAUCUCGCUAUGGAGGCCCGUGGGGGGAUUACCGGCCGUAAAACCUCUUCUUUACUGAAGAACUUCUCAAGGUUGACCUCGGAUCAGGUAGGAAUACCCGCUGAACUUAAGCAUAUCAAUAAGCGGAGGA
rnacentral:misc_RNA from 1 species